rnacentral:rRNA from 1 species
AUGCCAACCUUUGCGCUCGCCGUCCUCCGCGUCCCGAAGAAGAUCCUCAAGGAGGUCAACAAGUGCAGGUGGCGUUUCCUAUGGUGCCAAGAUGAAGAGAUCACUGGAGCCAAGUGCAAGGUCAACUGGCUGGUGGUGUGUGCCCCGAUGGAGAAGGGAGGCCUGGGCGUCCCCGACCUACAGCGUUUCGGCAGAGCGCUUUGUCUGCGCUGGCUUUGGAUCGCCUGGCACCACCCGAAAAGGCCCUGGGUGGGCUCUGAACUGCCAUGCGAUGAUGUGGAUCGAGCACUCUUCUUGGCCUCGACAAAGGUGACGAUCGGAGACGGGACGCGGGCAUCCUUCUGGCUCUCCCUGUGGCUCGGACAUGGAAGUCUCUCGCAGCUUUUCCCCAGGCUCUUCAUCCACUCUCGACGCAAGCACAGAUCAAUCAAAGAAGCACUCAGCAACAACACCUGGAUCCGCGAUCUCGCCCACGGACACAACCAGCACCUCCUCGAGGACGUCCUGGCCUUGCACCGCGAGCUGCAGCGUUCGGCGCAGCCCCUUCGACCAGGAGUGCCGAACGCCCUCACCUGGAAGCUUUCGAGCUCGGGGGCGUAG